GGCUCAGGAUGAACGCUAGCGGCAGGCCUAAUACAUGCAAGUCGAACGGUCUUUAGCAAUAGAGAUAGUGGCGCACGGGUGCGUAACGCGUAACCAACCUACCCGAAUCUGGGGGAUAGCCCGCCGAAAGGCGGAUUAAUACCGCAUAAGACGGCAGACCGGCAUCGGUUCGUCGUUAAAGAUUUAUUGGAUUCGGAUGGGGUUGCGUGCCAUUAGCUAGUUGGGGGGGUAACGGCCCACCAAGGCGACGAUGGCUAGGGGAGCUGAGAGGCUGGUCCCCCACACGGGCACUGAGAUACGGGCCCGACUCCUACGGGAGGCAGCAGUAGGGAAUAUUGGGCAAUGGCCGAGAGGCUGACCCAGCCAUGCCGCGUGCAGGACGAAGGCUUUCUGAGUCGUAAACUGCUUUUGCCAGGGAAGAAUAAGGGUCGUGCGCGGCCCGACGACGG
rnacentral:rRNA from 1 species